CGGGUUGUAAAGUACUUUCAGCAGUGAGGAAGGUGGGUAUGUUAAUAGCAUACUCAUUUGACGUUAGCUGCAGAAGAAGCACCGGCUAACUCCGUGCCAGCAGCCGCGGUAAUACGGAGGGUGCGAGCGUUAAUCGGAAUUACUGGGCGUAAAGCGCAUGCAGGUGGUUGUUAAGUCAGAUGUGAAAGCCCGGGGCUCAACCUCGGAAUUGCAUUUGAAACUGGCAAACUAGAGUACUGUAGAGGGGGUAGAAUUUCAGGUGUAGCGGUGAAAAUGCGUAGAGAUCUGAAGGAAUACCGGUGGCGAAGGCGGCCCCCUGGACAGAUACUGACACUCAGAUGCGAAAGCGUGGGGAGCAAACAGGAUUAGAUACCCUGGUAG
rnacentral:rRNA from 1 species